rnacentral:rRNA from 1 species
AGAGUUUGAUCCUGGCUCAGAACGAACGCUGGCGGCGUGGCUAAGGCAUGCAAGUCGAACGGGCUUAUGCAUUGGGUAACCGAAGCAUAAGCUAGUGGCGAACGGGUGAGUAAUGACUGGGUAAUGUGCCCCGUGCUCAGGAAUAGCCCACCGAAAGGUGGUGUAAUACCUGAUGAUGUCGGCGGAUCGCAUGAUUCGCCGAUCAAAGCUCCGGCGGCAUGGGAGCAGCCCAUUUCCUAUCAGCUUGUUGGUGAGGUAACGGCCCACCAAGGCGACGACGGGUACCGGGCGUGAGAGCGUGACCCGGCACAUCGGAACUGAGACACUGUCCGGACACCUACGGGUGGCUGCAGCAACGAAUAUUCCGCAAUGGGCGCAAGCCUGACGGAGCGACGCCGCGUGCAGGACGAAGUCCUUCGGGAUGUAAACUGCUGUCAGGGAUAAGGAAGAUCUGACCUAUCCCAGAGGAAGCAUCGACUAACUCUGUGCCAGCAGUCGCGGUAAUACAGAGGAUGCGAGCGUUGUUCGGAAUCACUGGGCUUAAAGCGCGUGUAGGCGGAUCGGUCAGUGUUCUGUGAAAGCCCCCGACUCAACCGGGGAACUGCAGGGCAUACUGCCGGUCUUGAGGCAGGUAGGGGUGCGCGGAACUCUAGGUGGAGCGGUGAAAUGCGUAGAUAUCUAGAGGAACGCCGGUGGCGAAAGCGACGCACUGGGCCUGUACUGACGCUGAGACGCGAAAGCGUAGGUAGCGAACGGGAUUAGAUACCCCGGUAGUCUACGCCGUAAACGAUGCGCACUAGGUUCGAGGAGUUCUGACGCUCUUCGGGCCGCAAGAAAACUACUAAGUGCGCCGCCUGGGGAGUACGGCCGCAAGGCUAAAACUCAAAGGAAUUGACGGGGGCUCACACAAGCGGUGGAGCAUGUGGAUUAAUUCGAAGCAACGCGAAGAACCUUACCUGGGUUUGACAUGCACGGAUGCCCUCUUGGAAACAGGAGUAAGCUGCCUUCGGGUGAAACUUGCACAGGUGCUGCAUGGCUGUCGUCAGCUCGUGCUGUGAAGUGUUGGGUUAAGUCCCCUAACGAGCGAAACCCUUGUCGCUAGUUACCAGCGGGUCAUGCCGGGGACUCUAGCGAGACUGCCGGUGUCAAACCGGAGGAAGGUGGGGAUGACGUCAAGUCCUCAUGGCCUUUAUGCCCAGGGUGUCACACGUGCUACAAUGGGGCGUACAGAGCGACGCAAGACCGCGAGGUGGAGCAAAUCGCAGAAAACGUCCCUCAGUUCGGAUUGGAGUCUGCAAUUCGACUCCAUGAAGUCGGAAUCGCUAGUAAUCGCGUAUCAGCCAUGACGCGGUGAAUAUGUUCCUGAGCCUUGUACACACCGCCCGUCAAGUCAUGGAAGCUGGGAGCACCCGAAGUCCGCUUAGCUGACCGCAAGGGGGCGGCGGCCGACGGUGAGCUCGGUGACUGGGGCUAAGUCG